rnacentral:lncRNA from 1 species
UGAUUUCACAAAACAAUCAAGAGUAACCACACCCACUUCAUUAAAACCCCGAUUCACUAGUACAACACUGACUUUCAGCAACGAUUGCCUCAGUCUUCUCAAAACACUAUGAAGAAAUAAAAAAUCCCAAUUCUCUGUCCUUUUUUCCCUCGAAGCAUGAAGCUAGUUCUCCGACCCUUAAAACCCUCAUUCUCCCCUUCUCA